rnacentral:rRNA from 1 species
UCCGUAGGGUGCAAGCGUUGUCCGGAUUUAUUGGGCGUAAAGAGCGUGUAGUCUGCCAGAUAGGUCAGCUGUGAAAACUCGAGGCUCAACCUCGAGAUGUCGGCUGAAACCAUCUGGCUAGAGUCCGGAAGAGGAGAAUGGAAUUCCCGGUGUAGCGGUGAAAUGCGCAGAUAUCGGGAAGAACACCCGUGGCGAAGGCGGUUCUCUGGGACGGUACUGACGCUGAGACGCGAAAGCGUGGGGAGCGAACAGG